CCCUUAGAUGUUCGGGGCCGCACGCGCGCUACACUGAAGGAAUCAGCACGUCUUUCUCCUUGUCCGAAAGGACUGGGUAACCCGCUGAACCUCCUUCGUGCUAGGGAUUGGGGCUUGUAAUUCUUCCCCAUGAACGAGGAAUUCCCAGUAAGCGCGAGUCAUAAGCUCGCGUUGAUUACGUCCCUGCCCUUUGUACACACCGCCCGUCGCUACUACCGAUUGGAUUGUUUAGUGAGAUCCUCGGAUUGGUCCCGGCGCGGCCUCUGGUCGUGCCGGAGUGCCGAAAAGAAUGUCGAACUUGAUCAUCUAGAGGAAGUAAAAGUCGUAACA
rnacentral:rRNA from 1 species